rnacentral:rRNA from 1 species
GUCGAGAAUCUUUCACAAUGGGGGCAACCCUGAUGGAGCGACGCCGCGUGGAGGAUAAGGUCUUCGGAUUGUAAACUCCUGUCAUGCGUGAACAAGGUUGCUUGGUUAAUACCUGGGCAAAUUGAUGGUAACGCAAGAGGAAGAGACGGCUAACUCUGUGCCAGCAGCCGCGGUAAUACAGAGGUCUCAAGCGUUGUUCGGAAUCACUGGGCGUAAAGGGUGCGUAGGUGGCGUGGUAAGUCAGAUGUGAAAGCCCGGGGCUCAACCUCGGAACUGCAUCCGAUACUGCCAUGCUAGAGUACUGGAGAGGUGACUAGAAUUCUCGGUGUAGCAGUGAAAUGCGUAGAUAUCGAGAGGAAUACCAAAGGCGUAGGCAGGUCACUGGACAGUUACUGACACUGAGACACGAAGGCCAGGGGAGCGAACGGGAUUAGAAACCCUAGUAGUCC